GGGAAAAGGCACACACCUCUGACUGAUGGUGACCCAAAAAGAAAUCAUAGAGAAGCAAAUUUGGCUCCACUGGUUUGAUUUUUCCUUCCUUCCUCCUUACACAUCCAAGGAGGUUUUGCUCUGGAAAUCUCUUGCUAUGAGAAUGCCUAACAAACCUGAACCAGGAAACCCUUUACCAACAGGAAGUGACCCAGUCUUUCUGCAUGGCAGGUGGCCACGCUGCCACCUGCUCCCUUCCUGUUAGUCAUGACUCCAAGGGUCUUGACAGAGGGUAGUGACAGGCAACUGGAGAUCUGGAAAGAAAAUCUCUCUUCAAA
rnacentral:lncRNA from 1 species